rnacentral:rRNA from 1 species
GACGAACGCUGGCGGCGUGCUUAACACAUGCAAGUCGAACGGAAAGGCCCUGCUUGCAGGGUACUCGAGUGGCGAACGGGUGAGUAACACGUGGGUGAUCUGCCCUGCACUUCGGGAUAAGCCUGGGAAACUGGGUCUAAUACCGGAUAGGAGCCAUUUUUAGUGUGAUGGUUGGAAAGUUUUUUCGGUGUAGGAUGAGCUCGCGGCCUAUCAGCUUGUUGGUGGGGUAAUGGCCUACCAAGGCGGCGACGGGUAGCCGGCCUGAGAGGGUGGACGGCCACAUUGGGACUGAGAUACGGCCCAGACUCCUACGGGAGGCAGCAGUGGGGAAUAUUGCACAAUGGGCGCAAGCCUGAUGCAGCGACGCCGCGUGGGGGAUGACGGCCUUCGGGUUGUAAACUGCUUUCGCUAGGGACGAAGCUUUUUGUGACGGUACCUAGAGAAGAAGCACCGGCUAACUACGUG